rnacentral:rRNA from 2 species
UGGGGAAUAUUGGACAAUGGGCGCAAGCCUGAUCCAGCCAUGCCGCGUGAGUGAUGAAGGCCCUAGGGUUGUAAAGCUCUUUCACCGGUGAAGAUAAUGACGGUAACCGGAGAAGAAGCCCCGGCUAACUUCGUGCCAGCAGCCGCGGUAAUACGAAGGGGGCUAGCGUUGUUCGGAUUUACUGGGCGUAAAGCGCACGUAGGCGGACUAUUAAGUCAGGGGUGAAAUCCCGGGGCUCAACCCCGGAACUGCCUUUGAUACUGGAAGUCUUGAGUAUGGUAGAGGUGAGUGGAAUUCCGAGUGUAGAGGUGAAAUUCGUAGAUAUUCGGAGGAACACCAGUGGCGAAGGCGGCUCACUGGACCAUUACUGACGCUGAGGUGCGAAAGCGUGGGGAGCAAACAGG